CUUACACAUCUCGUUGAUUAUUUUAUCGUCUCAAAUUUUGCUUAUCUCUUCCUCCUUUGACAAAUUUUUUUCUCUAGUUAUUAAAUAUGAACAUCAAGACAAUUUUCCUUAUCUAGAUGAACCUUCAGGUCCAAGCAAGAGAAUAAUGUUAAUGCACUUUCACCCUUUAGCGGACCACAAGGCCCAAGCAAGAGAAUAAUGUUUAUGCACUUUCACCCCUCCAAUCCUUAAGGGUGAACCGAGCUUCCAUUUGUUUGGGUUCAUAAUAUGUGUUGCAGCAACAGCGGUACGAGCCCUCAAAUCAGUGUUACGGGGAAUUUUGCUUUCAUCUGAAGGGUAUGUACUACGAAUAAGGAACAUGCUAUUUACCUCAUUCUUUGUUUUCUUCUGUAGCAGUUGUAGUUUCAAUGAAGGGGGUUCUCCUUUUGCAAUUGUCUAGAAAUAGCUCAUGGUACAAAGUUCAAGGCAUAUUGAGGAAUUUCUAAUAGUCAUUUAUUCUUUGAAGAAAGAAUUGUAGAAUUGGAGGAUCUCUACUCAUUUGUUAUUUACAAUGCUUACAUUUGUUUAUUGAUGAGAAAAUUCGUAUUUUUGAUUGUAGUCUA